AGAGUUUGAUCCUGGCUCAGGACGAACGUUGGCGGUGCGCUUAAUGCAUGCAAGUCGAGGGAGAAGCAGUCGUUCCGUAAGGUUCGAUUGUGGAAACCGGCGAACGGGUGCGUAACACGUGAGAAACCUGCCCCCCAGACCGGGAUAGCCCGAGGAAACUCGGAUUAAUACCGGAUACCCUCUUUGGAUCGCAUGGUCCAAUGAGAAAAGAGUCCGCUGCUGGGGGAUGGUCUCGCGGCCUAUCAGGUAGUUGGUGAGGUAACGGCUCACCAAGCCGAAGACGGGUAGCUGGUCUGAGAGGACGAUCAGCCACACUGGAACUGAGACACGGUCCAGACUCCUACGGGAGGCAGCAGCAGGGAAUAUUGCACAAUGGGCGAAAGCCUGAUGCAGCGACACCGCGUGCGGGAUGAAGGCCUUCGGGUUGUAAACCGCUUUCAGGAGGGAAGAAAAUGACGGUACCUCCACAAGAAGCUCCGGCUAACUACGUGCCAGCAGCCGCGGUAAUACGUAGGGAGCAAACGUUGUCCGGAUUUAUUGGGCGUAAAGGGCUCGUAGGCGGUUCAACAAGUCGGUCGUGAAAGCCCGGGGCUCAACCCCGGGACGCCGGUCGAAACUGUUGUGACUAGAGUUCGGUAGAGGUGAGUGGAAUUCUCGGUGUAGCGGUGGAAUGCGCAGAUAUCGAGAGGAACACCAUUAGCGAAGGCGGCUCACUGGGCCGAUACUGACGCUGAGGAGCGAAAGCGUGGGGAGCAAACAGGAUUAGAUACCCUGGUAGUCCACGCCGUAAACGAUGAACACUAGGUGUAGCGGACUGAUUCACGUCUGCUGUGCCGCAGCUAACGCAUUAAGUGUUCCGCCUGGGGAGUACGGCCGCAAGGCUAAAACUCAAAGGAAUUGACGGGGCCCCGCACAAGCGGCGGAGCAUGCGGCUUAAUUCGAUGCAACCCGAAGAACCUUA
rnacentral:rRNA from 1 species